rnacentral:tmRNA from 1 species
GGGGACGCUACGGAUUCGACAGGGGUAGUUCGAGCUUAGGUUGCGAGUCGAGGGGAUCGGCCUCGUUAAAACGUCAACGCCUAUAACUGGCAAAACAAACAAUAACUUAGCUUUCGCUGCUUAAUAGCGCUUAGGCUGUUCGCCCCUCCAUUGUCCAUGUGGUAGGGUAGCGGACUCACUCUUAGUGGACUACGCCGGAUUCCACCGUCUGAGGAUGAAGGAAGAGAACAACCAGACUAGCUGGCUGGACGCCUGUCGAUAGGCAUAAGGAUCAGCGAAACGCCAAAUAUGUCGACUACACUCGUAGAAGCUUAAGUGCCGAUAUUUCUGGACGUGGGUUCGACUCCCACCGUCUCCACCA